CAGUCGCCGCGGUAAUACGAAGGGGGCUAGCGUUGCUCGGAAUGACUGGGCGUAAAGGGCGCGUAGGCGGCGGCCAAAGUCAGGCGUGAAAUUCCCGGGCUCAACCUGGGGGCUGCGUUUGAUACUUGGUUGCUUGAGUGGGGAAGAGGGUCGUGGAAUUCCCAGUGUAGAGGUGAAAUUCGUAGAUAUUGGGAAGAACACCGGUGGCGGAGGCGGCGACCUGGUCCUUUACUGACGCUGAGGCGCGAAAGCGUGGGGAGCAAACAGGAUUAGAUACCCGAGUAGUCCCUGUCUCUUAUAC
rnacentral:rRNA from 1 species